GAAUGAUGUCACUAGGUGGCACCCUAAGACAGAUGCUGCAAGGUUAGGCAUCAGAAAGAGCAGGCGGAUUCUUCAAGCCGCUUCCCCGGAAAUGACUCAGCUGGGAUGACUUCAGUAGUUGGGUGUUCUUUCGCGUGAGACCCGGCAGCACUACAUCACCUUCGUACAGCCGGCGCUGGGUGCAAAUGAGAUGGUCUCUGUUUAUUCCGUGCUGUCUGCGUUCCACUCAUCAUCAGAGCCUGGUCAGUGCAGUGAGGGUGCCCGAGACUGACGCCUGCACAUGAAACAUGAAGGAGCCCGUGACACAGCGGAGAACCCCGUGACCCAGCCCAGUCCAAUCCACAGUUCUAGCUCAUUCUCUCCCUCCUCUGAAACGAGGCUCCCCUUAGCAACUUCGCCGUGUGCCUGGCAUUUAUUACAACUGCCCUACAACCCGAGGAGCUUUUUUGGAAACACUCGGCAUAUUCCCUGGACCAAUGGCAUGUUUGGUAACAAUCUGAUGGUGACGGUGAUGAGGGUGAGGAUGAUGGCGGUGAUGAUGACGAAGAAUCCACAGGCCUUCUGCAAUGAGUUUGUGUGCCCUGCCUAGCGAGUCCUGCACAUCACAGAUAGUAAUAACGACGCAGUUGCUGAAGCAGGAAGGUAAAGGGGCUGGAUAGGAGGCUAAUCAGUAGUUCUACUUCCAGAAGGAGCCCUGUCUUGGGCAGUAAGCGGCCCAAAGAGGCCUUGAAGCAGGGCCUUCACUACCCUCGUUGCUAUGCCUGUGCUUCUGUUUGGAGGAUUUUAUCAGAGUGGUUUGGAACUUGCUAGACAAAGACUUAAUCCUCACCUCUUGCUGGACUGAAAUCGGAAGGAUGCAAGGCUUAAAAAUUAGUAAUGAUACUCCCUGCUUCUUUCAUGCAAGGAAGCAUUCCUUGUCUGAAAGUCAUUUGUCAGGCACCUCCACCUGUCACUUACUUUACUAUUAGCUGAAAAUGAGACAAUAAACAGCCAAAGAGAA